GUGCCAGCAGCCGCGGUAAUACGAAGGUCCCAAGCGUUAUCCGGAUUUAUUGGGUUUAAAGGGUGCGUAGGCGGAUUAUUAAGUCAGUGGUGAAAGCCCCAGGCCUAACCUGGGAAUUGCCAUUGAUACUGAUGAUCUUGAGUACAUUUGAGGAGGGCGGAAUGUGUCAUGUAGCGGUGAAAUGCUUAGAUAUGACACAGAACACCGAUUGCGUAGGCAGCUCUCUAAACUGUAACUGACGCUGAGGCACGAAAGCGUGGGGAGCAAACAGGAUUAGAUACCCCUGUAGUCC
rnacentral:rRNA from 1 species